UUCACCUGAUCCUGAUGAGGUCCUACCCUCACUAGUGUGAGUCUUUGUGGUCCUUUGUCUCAGGAAUGUUUGUUCUUCUUGUUUCUGCAUUUUCUACCUCGACUUUUGGACUUUCUACUUAAGAUGUUUUCCCGCUCCUUCACGAAUUUGCUUGCCUGACUGGACUGCCACUGAUUCUCUGCUAUCGACUUCCGCCUGCCUCACCAUCCACAAAGCAGCUGGCUAUGAUUAUGUAGCAUGGAGACUUUGGCAGCAGGAGCUGAGGAGCCAUCUGGAGCAGCGGGAGUUUCGUCCCAGCGGGGCCGGUCGACCUGUGGAACAGCAGCGGGGAGAGAGAGUCCGGCAACGCUGAGGCACACAAGGUGCCGUGGGUCGUUUCUGCGCCUCCGGCUCGGCUCAGAAAUACCUGCACUUCCCCUCCGACGUCACCGCAGCCCUCAGCUGUGAGCUUACACCGGGAGAGCGAAGGUUAUUGGCCACAAUGUUCCCGAGGAUGAGGAGGGAUCAACCUAGAGAGAGAGAAUACACCUCCAGGAGGACAGACAUUUCAGGAAUAGAAACAGAAAUGCUUUUCAAGUGGGGAGACGCACUCGGCUGAUCUUUAUUCAUCGUCUCAUUUGACGGCACUGCAUCAACAGAAAUGUUGGACGACGAGAGACAGAAGAGGCAGAAUUUGGGACUGACUUCAAACCUGCCCUGAAUUCAUCUCCGAGCUGGCCGCAUUUCAGAGCGUUUGAAGCGAGCGUCGUCUGCAGACCCACGCCGUGUCAGCCGCGCUGAAAAUCCUGGAGUCCGUGAUAAAGACAAAUGAAAAGAGUGGGCGGAAACCGGAGUACCCGGAGAGAACCCACACAGACACGAGGAGAACAUACAAACUCAGAAAGCCGGUUUGGGGGUUUGAACAAGGAACCAUCUUGCCGUGAGGCGACCCCUGCAACACCGUGACAUAAGGUACUUAUUUGAACCCAGAUCGUGAUCUUUUCCUAAACCUGACAAAGUACUUUUGUGAUCUAAACAUGACUGAACUGUGACCGGUGUCGGAUAGUGUCAUUUCUCUGAAAAACUGAAGUGAACUUUGCCAACCUUUGGAGGGCUGACAGAGCGAGUCAUCAAAGCUGGUCACUCAGCGCUGCAGUGAGUUCCUGUCAUUUCAAUCUUCUGGUGUACAGUUGUAGGACACUCGAUGGUAUCAGUAGUUAUCAUGAAGCACUCAGUGUG